AAGAAAUGAUAUCAUCUGAUAGCCUUCACUAAGUUUAAAGCUCCCAGACUGGAAUUAAUCGUGAAGGCAGCGAUGAUCCAUUCAACAGGGAGUACUUGUAGUGAAAAGAAAAUGAAGUAAUAGACGGACAGUUCAGUGGUACAAGUUGCAGAGACUGCAAAGGAACUCACCUUGGUAUGUAUCACAGGAAAAGUUUUCUUGUCUAAGAGAAAGUUUGAAAAUUAAAGAAGAGUUCUUGUAGAUU
rnacentral:lncRNA from 1 species